ACUCCUACGGGAGGCAGCAGUGAGGAAUAUUGCGCAAUGGGGGCAACCCUGACGCAGCGACGCCGCGUGAGUGAGGAAGGCCUUCGGGUCGUAAAGCUCUGUCAAAGGGGAAGAAAUGUAUAGUGGUUAAUACCCAUUAUAUUUGACGGUACCCUUAAAGGAAGCACCGGCUAACUCCGUGCCAGCAGCCGCGGUAAUACGGAGGGUGCAAGCGUUGUUCGGAAUUACUGGGCGUAAAGGGCGCGCAGGCGGUUUGUUAAGUCAGAUGUGAAAGCCCACGGCUUAACCGUGGAAGUGCAUUUGAAACUGGCAGACUUGAGUACCAGAGGGGAAAGUGGAAUUCCCGGUGUAGAGGUGAAAUUCGUAGAUAUCGGGAGGAAUACCGGUGGCGAAGGCGACUUUCUGGCUGGAUACUGACGCUGAGGCGCGAAAGCGUGGGGAGCAAACAGGAUUAGAUACCCCGGUAGUCC
rnacentral:rRNA from 1 species